AUCGGUUCUCAGCCUUUUGGCUAAGAUCAAGUGUUGUUCAAGUAUCUCUUCUUAUCAGUUUAAUCUCUGAUAAAUUGUUUAUCCAACGACAAUCUAAAGAUGGAUUUUUGGCACUAGGAAAUGGAAUAGGAGCUUACUCUGUCCACUCCAUGCAUUGAACUGGUAAUGCAAUACCUCCAGGAAUAGCGCAUCCCCC